GUGCGUGUAGAUUAUUUUAAAUUGUAAGGCUGUUAACCUUGAGAAAGUUUUGUGACUCGCGGACU
rnacentral:tRNA from 1 species